GAGGGUAAAGCUCAGUGGUAGAGCAUGUGCUUAGCAUGCAUGAGGUCCUGGGUUCAAUCCCCAGUACCUCCA
rnacentral:tRNA from 1 species